UACGUAGGGUGCGAGCGUUGUCCGGAAUUAUUGGGCGUAAAGAGCUUGUAGGCGGUUUGUCGCGUCUGCCGUGAAAAUCCGGGGCUCAACCCCGGACUUGCGGUGGGUACGGGCAGACUAGAGUGUGGUAGGGGAGACUGGAAUUCCUGGUGUAGCGGUGAAAUGCGCAGAUAUCAGGAGGAACACCGAUGGCGAAGGCAGGUCUCUGGGCUACUACUGACGCUGAGAAGCGAAAGCGUGGGGAGCGAACAGG
rnacentral:rRNA from 1 species